UGAGGAAUUUUGCGCAAUGGGCGAAAGCCUGACGCAGCAACGCCGCGUGAGUGAUGAAGGCUUUCGGGUCGUAAAGCUCUGUCAAGGGGAAAGAAGUGUAUUGUGGUUAAUACCCAUGAUGCUUGACGGUACCCCUAAAGGAAGCACCGGCUAACUCCGUGCCAGCAGCCGCGGUAAUACGUAGGUAGCGAGCGUUAUUCGGAUUCACUGGGCGUAAAGGGUCCGCAGGAGGCCUGUCAAGUCGGAUGUGAAAGCCCAGGGCUCAACCCUGGAAUGUCAUCCGAAACUGCCGGGCUAGAGUGCAUGAGGGGUAGACGGAAUUCCUGGUGUAGCGGUGGAAUGCGUAGAUAUCAGGAGGAACACCGAUGGCGAAGGCGGUCUACUGGCAUGCAACUGACUCUCAGGGACGAAAGCGUGGGGAGCAAACA
rnacentral:rRNA from 1 species